GGCAGAGGAAGGAGAAACAGGGAAUUAAUGAAGGUCAGGGGAAGGAGAAACAGGGAAUUUAUGUAGGGGCAAAGGAGAAACGAGGAAUUAAGGCAGGGCAGAGGAAGGAGAAACAGGAAUUAAUGCAGGGCAGAGGAAGGAGAAACAGGGAAUUAAUUAAGGGCAGAGGAAGGAGAAACAGGGAUUUAAUGCAGGGCAGAGGAAGGAGAAACAGGGAAUUAAUGCAGGGUCAGAGGAAGGAGAAACAGGGAAUUUAUGCAGGGCAGAGGAAGGAGAAACAGGGAAUUAAUGAAGGUCAGAGGAAGGAGAAACUGAAUUAUUGCAGGGCAGAGGAAGGAGAAACGGAAUUAUUGCAGGGCAGAGGAAGGAGAAACAGGGAUUUAAUGCAGGGUAGAGGAAGGAGAAACAGGGAUUUAAUGCAGGGUAGAGGAAGGAGAAACAGGGAUUAAUGCAGGGCAGAGGAAGGAGAAACAGGGAAUUAAUGCAGGGCAGAGGAAGGAGAAACAGGGAAUUAAUGAAGGGCAGAGGAAGGAGAAACAGGGAAUUAAUGAAGGACAGAGGAAGGAGAAACAGGAAGAGGAAGGAGAAACAGG
ensembl:lncRNA